AGAGUUUGAUCCUGGCUCAGGACGAACGCUGGCGGCGUGCUUAACACAUGCAAGUCGAACGAGAAUCUACGGAUCGAGGAUUCGUCCAAGUGAAGUAGAGGACAGUGGCGGACGGGUGAGUAACGCGUGAGGAACCUGCCUUUCAGAGGGGGACAACAGUUGGAAACGACUGCUAAUACCGCAUGACACAUUGAGGUCGCAUGGCCUUAAUGUCAAAGAUUUAUCGCUGAAAGAUGGCCUCGCGUCUGAUUAGCUAGUUGGUGAGGUAACGGCCCACCAAGGCGACGAUCAGUAGCCGGACUGAGAGGUUGACCGGCCACAUUGGGACUGAGAUACGGCCCAGACUCCUACGGGAGGCAGCAGUGGGGAAUAUUGGGCAAUGGGCGCAAGCCUGACCCAGCAACGCCGCGUGAAGGAAGAAGGCUUUCGGGUUGUAAACUUCUUUUGUCAGGGACGAGUAGAAGACGGUACCUGACGAAUAAGCCACGGCUAACUACGUGCCAGCAGCCGCGGUAAUACGUAGGUGGCAAGCGUUGUCCGGAUUUACUGGGUGUAAAGGGCGUGUAGCCGGGAAGGCAAGUCAGAUGUGAAAUCCACGGGCUCAACUCGUGAACUGCAUUUGAAACUGUUUUUCUUGAGUAUCGGAGAGGCAAUCGGAAUUCCUAGUGUAGCGGUGAAAUGCGUAGAUAUUCGGAGGAACACCAGUGGCGAAGGCGGCUUGCUGGGCUUUAACUGACGCUGAGGCUCGAAAGUGUGGGGAGCAAACAGGAUUAGAUACCCUGGUAGUCCACACUGUAAACGAUGAUAGCUAGGUGUGGGGGGUCUGACCCCUUCCGUGCCGGAGUUAACGCAAUAAGCUAUCCACCUGGGGAGUACGACCGCAAGGUUGAAACUCAAAGGAAUUGACGG
rnacentral:rRNA from 1 species